rnacentral:lncRNA from 1 species
AAAUGACACAAUAUUGUCAUGGUAAUCAAAGUACAAGAGAGUGAGAAGAUGAACCCAAUUGAAACAACAAACUUUUUGACUUGUUUUCUUAUCAAUCAUUGUCAUCAUAACAAAUAUCAACAUACUUUUAUUAUUUUGUUUUACAUUUAGUGAAUUUUUUACUUGAUUAUUCAAGUGUUCAUUGUGGGUUCGAUAUCUGUCCUUAGAGACAAAUUAUUAUUUCUGACAACGCGAUGCAUUUUCCGUAGAAUAGUCAUCAAGUUUUUG